rnacentral:ncRNA from 1 species
AACAAAGCAUGGAAAGAGAGAGUAUAAAAGCAUGAACUGAUUUAGCGAGUCAGCGGAUGGUGGGAGCCUGAUACAGUCGGACUUUUAGAAAAUCACUCUUGAGUUGUCGUUAUGAACAAAUAGUAAUAAUGACCGGUUAUUCCCGUUAUCGAUGUCGAGUGAAUAUGGAGAGAUUUCCCAUAUUUAUAAGGGUGGUACCGCGAGUCUUCUCGUCCCUUGA